GGUGUGACCCAAAAACCAAAAACCAAAAAAAAAAGAAAGAAAACAAAGAUUAGCAUGGCCCCUGCGCCUGGAUGACACGCAAAUUUUGUGAAGUGUUCUGUAUUAAA